AACGAACGCUGGCGGCAGGCCUAAAACAUGCAAGUCGAGCGGGCAUAGCAAUAUGUCAGCGGCGGACGGGUGAAUAACACGCGGGAACAUGCCCUUUGGUACGGAACAACUCAGGGAAACUUGAGCUAAUACCGUAUGUGCCGGUAACGGGAAAGAUUUAUCGCCAAAGGAUUGGCCCGCGUCCGAUUAGCUAGUUGGUGAGGUAACGGCUCACCAAGGCGACGAUCGGUAGCUGGUUUGAGAGAACGAUCAGCCACACUGGGACUGAGACACGGCCCAGACUCCUACGGGAGGCAGCAGUUGGGAAUCUUGGACAAUGGGGGAAACCCUGAUCCAGCCAUGCCGCGUGAGCGAUGAAGGCCUUCGGUUGUAAGUA
rnacentral:rRNA from 1 species